UUAGUACUCUACUUUUCUUUUAAUCUACCUCACGCGACAUUUUUUUCUUUCUAAGCUGUUGCCAUACAUAACAAUUAUUUUUCUCGCUCCUCACUUCUCUCUCCCCCAUAUCUUCUUAUUUGCUCAUGUUGCACCGGAGAGAGCCAGCUAGCUAACAGUUAUCAUCGUACAUUCCCUAUCACUAACGCACAUUCAAUGAACGAAACUUCUUGCAAAACGUACGGUGGUUGGGUGGUGGGGCCGGGCAGCGCAGUGGGUCCGUUUCGUGCGUGUUUUCUUUGUUUUGUUUUCUUUUUUAUUUGUGUGUGAAUUUUUGAUUUAUUUUCUAUUUUUUCUGUUCGACGUUUGCAGGGAGGAGGGACGGACGGAACGACGAAACUCCUUCUCUAUUAAACAAUUAAACUGGAUAAGGAUUUGGAAACUAAUUAAAAUCCAACUACGGAAAAUAAUUCAAUUGCCACGACCUCAUCUGAAGUCCAGUUGUAGCAACUGAAAAGACUAUUUCUCACCCCUUCAUGAGCAGUUGUGUUCUUUUUAUACUUGAAAGAUGAAAGACUAUUUGAUUUUUGAUAGCUAUUUUGAUGGUAUAAAUGAUGGCAUUAA
rnacentral:lncRNA from 1 species